CUUUGCCUGUUCUGUUCGUGAUUUCAAUGUUGUUUUGGGCUAAACACAGAAGAGAAGGAAUUUGAUUGGAUACGGCGCAAAUGCCUUCAUUGCAGUUGGACUUGUAAAGUAUUCAUAAAAUUCCAAAAUUUAAAAAUUCGCUUCAAACGAAUUGUUACACGGCAGAACGGGUUUCUU
rnacentral:other from 1 species